UAGAUACCCUGGUAGUCCACGCUGUAAACGAUGUCGAUUUGGAGGUUGUGCCCUUGAGGCGUGGCUUCCGGAGCUAACGCGUUAAAUCGACCGCCUGGGGAGUACGGCCGCAAGGUUAAAACUCAAAUGAAUUGACGGGGGCCCGCACAAGCGGUGGAGCAUGUGGUUUAAUUCGAUGCAACGCGAAGAACCUUACCUACUCUUGACAUCCAGAGAACUUAGCAGAGAUGCUUUGGUGCCUUCGGGAACUCUGAGACAGGUGCUGCAUGGCUGUCGUCAGCUCGUGUUGUGAAAUGUUGGGUUAAGUCCCGCAACGAGCGCAACCCUUAUCCUUUGUUGCCAGCGGUUCGGCCGGGAACUCAAAGGAGACUGCCAGUGAUAAACUGGAGGAAGGUGGGGAUGACGUCAAGUCAUCAUGGCCCUUACGAGUAGGGCUACACACGUGCUACAAUGGCAUAUACAAAGAGAAGCGACCUCGCGAGAGCAAGCGGACCUCAUAAAGUAUGUCGUAGUCCGGAUUGGAGUCUGCAACUCGACUCCAUGAAGUCGGAAUCGCUAGUAAUCGUAGAUCAGAAUGCUACGGUGAAUACGUUCCCGGGCCUUGUACACACCGCCCGUCACACCAUGGGAGUGGGUUGCAAAAGAAGUAGGUAGCUUAACCUUCGGGAGGGCGCUUACCACUUUGUGAUUCAUGACUGGGG
rnacentral:rRNA from 1 species